rnacentral:rRNA from 1 species
GAGAGUUAAAUAGUACGUGAAAUUGUUGAAAGGGAAACGAUUGAAGUCAGUCAUGCCGGUGAGAAUCAACUUUGGGGAAGGGGGAUUUUUUUGAACCUAACCUUGAAGUGCACUUCUUCGCUUGGCAGGUUAGCGUCGAUUUUGAACGUCAUAAAAUGAUUGGGGGAAGGUAGCUCUUUCGGGAGUGUUAUAGCCCUUAAUUAAUGUGAUAUUUGGGAUCGAGGAUUGCAACGGAUACCUUUUUAGGCUAGCCGCCUGGCCUCUGAUUCGAUGUUGGGUUAUAGACAGCACGCUGACUAUGAUCUGAUUAUUGGUCAAAAGGUUAGAGCGAGCAUAAAUUCGUUAAGGACGCUGACGUAAUGGCUUUAAACGA